rnacentral:misc_RNA from 1 species
GAAAUGCGAUAAGUAAUGUGAAUUGCAGAAUUCAGUGAAUCAUCGAAUCUUUGAACGCACAUUGCGCCCGCCAGUAUUCUGGCGGGCAUGCCUGUUCGAGCGUCAUUUCAACCAUCAAGCCCCCGGGCUUGUGUUGGGGACCUGCGGCUGCCGCAGGCCCUGAAAAGCAGUGGCGGGCUCGCUGUCGCACCGAGCGUAGUAGCAUACAUCUCGCUCUGGUCGCGCCGCGGGUUCCGGCCGUUAAACCACCUUUUAACCCAAGGUUGACCUCGGAUCAGGUAAGAGGACCCGCUGAAUUUAA